rnacentral:lncRNA from 1 species
GCAGAAGGAGGAGGAGCUCCAUCUGUACUCUCUUCAGGCAGUUGUGUCUCUCAGUGCUUGUUGGGUUCACACCUAUUAAAUAAGCUGGCUGGUCUUCACCCUCCAAGAGAAGUCAACUCAUGGGAGGUGGCAGGGUACAGGCAUUGGCCCAAGCUGUGGCUGGGGCCAGGCUGUGGUGUCGGCAGGCAAGCAGCAGACAAGACCAUCUCUGCAAGUGCAGCACAGCCUCAGCCUAGGGCAACGGGAGUGUGAGGCCAAAGCUGUGAGCAGAGGCAUAGAUUUACCUUUGGAGUCCAACCCUUCUGACCAUCCAGAGGCAAGCACAAUAUUCCUGAGAAAAUCUCAAAUAGAUGUGUGACCUUGGUGAUAUAUUAACAUAUCAAGCAAAGAGAUGCAGAUAGAUCUUUGGGCAUAUUUGAUGAACGGUUACACCCAUUUACAUGAGAAGACGUUUUGGAGGAAUAUUUUAAAUAUGAUCCUUAACACAAAUUGGUUUUCAGUUUUGUUUGUAUUCUGUUUAAAGCCAUAAGGCUAACAGCUGAAUUUGCAAUUGUAAGUUUGUUAAGACUGUCUUUCAGAAUGUAUGGAAUCACAG